AUGCAUGUUAACCAAGAGCUGUGGCUUUGCAAGUAGCCACCGGAUCUCCAACAACAUGCGAGAACAAGGCGGAGAGACUUUGACUCUUCAGACUUGGUAGUUGGGGAUGUCACUCGACUCUCCUGUAUUG